UACGUAGGGGGCGAGCGUUGUCCGGAUUUAUUGGGCGUAAAGAGCUCGUAGGUGGUUUGUCGCGUUGUCCGUGAAAACUCACAGCUCAACUGUGGGCGUGCGGGCGAUACGGGCAGACUGGAGUACUGCAGGGGAGACUGGAAUUCCUGGUGUAGCGGUGGAAUGCGCAGAUAUCAGGAGGAACACCGGUGGCGAAGGCGGGUCUCUGGGCAGUAACUGACGCUGAGGAGCGAAAGCGUGGGGAGCGAACAGG
rnacentral:rRNA from 1 species